AGUGAACGCUGGCGGUAGGCCUAACACAUGCAAGUCGAACGGCAGCACAGUAAGAGCUUGCUCUUACGGGUGGCGAGUGGCGGACGGGUGAGGAAUACAUCGGAAUCUACUUUUUCGUGGGGGAUAACGUAGGGAAACUUACGCUAAUACCGCAUACGACCUACGGGUGAAAGCAGGGGAUCUUCGGACCUUGCGCGAUUGAAUGAGCCGAUGUCGGAUUAGCUAGUUGGCGGGGUAAAGGCCCACCAAGGCGACGAUCCGUAGCUGGUCUGAGAGGAUGAUCAGCCACACUGGAACUGAGACACAGUCCAGACUCCUACGGGAGGCAGCAGUGGGGAAUAUUGGACAAUGGGCGCAAGCCUGAUCCAGCCAUACCGCGUGGGUGAAGAAGGCCUUCGGGUUUUAAAGCCCUUUUGUUGGGAAAGAAAAGCAGCAGGUUAAUACCCCGCUGUUCUGACGGUACCCAAAGAAUAAGCACCGGCUAACUUCGUG
rnacentral:rRNA from 1 species